GACGAACGCUGGCGGCGUGCCUAAUACAUGCAAGUCGAGCGGAUCUGAGGGAGCUUGCUCCCGAUGAUCAGCGGCGGACGGGUGAGUAACACGUGGGCAACCUGCCUGUCAGACUGGGAUAUUUCCGGGAAACCGGGGCUAAUACCGGAUAACUCAUUCCCUCACAUGAGGGAAUGCUGAAAGACGGUUUCGGCUGCUACUUACAGAUGGGCCCGCGGCGGAUUAGCUAGUUGGUGAGGUAACGGCUCACCAAGGGGACGAUGCGUAGCAGACCUGAGAGGGUGAUCGGCCACACUGGGACUGAGACACGGCCCAGACUCCUACGGGAGGAAGCAGUAGGGAAUCUUCCGCAAUGGACGAAAGUCUGACGGAGCAACGCCGCGUGAGCGAAGAGGGCCUUCGGGUCGUAAAGCUCUGUUGUCAGGGAAGAACAAGUACCGGAGUAACUGCCGGUACCUUGACGGUACCUGACCAGAAAGCCACGGCUAACUACGUGCCAGCCGCCGCCGUAACAC
rnacentral:rRNA from 1 species